AAACUGCGCCCACAUAUACAGACACCUGCUUGACACUUGUAGUAUCAGUUCUAAACUGCACGACAAACGAGACGGACGUCGUGGAGCUAAAAUUUAAUUAAUGUACCCCCUGAAGACGAUCUCCGGAGGAGAUUGAAAUAUAUUGGGAAGGAAUGUA